GUGCUCGCUUCGGCAGCACAUACACUAAAAAUUGGAACAAUACGGAGAAGAUUAACAUGGCCCCUGAGCAAGGAUGACACACAAUUUUGUGAAGCAUUCCAUGUUUUU